GUUCUAUGUCAGGUGUUCGGUCUCACGCUCGGAACUCAGAGCUAUUAAUCACAAGAUUGUGCUGCAAUGCCUUGAGUGGUACAACUCCAAGCAUCCGGGCAAUGAGUACGAACCUGCCCCAGGGGUGGUGACCAGACGCAGCGAAUUCAACAAGUCUCUGCUAUGGACUCACGGCAACUUUGUGGCUCGUCCGAAGCGCUCUGGCUACUUCUCCUUCCUGCCUGCGCCACGAACUCUCUUCUUUUUUGAGCUACUUGAUAGAUAUGAUGUCGAUGAAGUUAUCACAUGCACCCCCUUAGGUAGCACUUGCGCUGCAAUUCUUAGCACACAGAGAGAUUAACAGGGCAUGAUACGCUUGUUUUAGGAUCAGAAUAACUAAAUUGUAUUUUCCUUUUCUUUU